AGUCAAUAAAGUCACCAUCUUCCUUGUCACUUCUUUCGGCAUCAUAUGUCAUGUUUGCAACAUCUGUCACAUUUUGAACUUCUAUCUGUGUAUAUUCAUAAACUUCAUCUCUAAUGAAUACAUGGAUGAUCCUAGAAGCAUCAACUAACAGAGACAUCUCGAUGGCAUCCGUAUCAUUUUUCAAAGAUCUUAACCCAUCACUUAACAUCUUUCCAGGAUGCAACCAAAAGAAUGACUUACGAUCUACUGCUUGAAUUCCUACUUCUUCAUCCAUGCUUUUAACCUCAAGCAUUGAUAUCUUAUCACUACUACAAUAAUCAACAUGCCCAAUCUUCUUCUCCUUAAAAUCACUUGAAGUAUUUUU
rnacentral:lncRNA from 1 species